AUGAAUACAACAAUGACCCUUCUUGACGGUCUACUCCUUGACACGCAACUUUCCGGUUGUUAUACAUCGCCUACUUCUAGCAAGAGAUAGGGAUAAGAUGAGUUAUGACGUGUGAAAAUGCCAUAUGAGGACAAAUUACCAUUUAACACAUAGGACCUCUUUAAUUUAGAAGAUGGAUUCUCAAAUGACGUAAUUUAUAGCAUGAAAUAUUGCAGAAAAAUAAAAAAUGGGAAAACAAAAAUUGAGACAGAGGGCCUCAAUGGGUGGGUUUUCAGGUUCUGAACAGAGAGAGAAAAAGAAUGAUCAGGUGUAAAUGUAUAUUCAAGAUAACAAAACAGAGGGUGCCAUUAAAGCCAUGCCGAAAGCACCAAAGAGUGAGAGAAUCAGUAUGAGACCUCCACCCAUUUCACACCACCAUUUCCAUCCAUACAUCAAUCAACACAUAUGUCCGCCUCCUUUUCUUCAUCUUCAACUUCAUCUUCAUCUUCAUGUUGGAGAGAGACAGAGAGAGAUUGUUGAAGAGAGAGAGAGAGAUUGACAGAGGAGAGAGAGAAGAGUUUGCUCACAAGGUAACAGUGAGAUUUCUCCUCUUCAAGUUUGUCUGCAUAAUUCACUGGAAGAGAGAGAGAGAGAGGGGAUGUUUCCUUUAGAGAGAGAGAGAGAGAUUCCUUAUUGAAGAGAGAAAGAGAGAGAAUGGGUUUCCUUCCCCGCCUUAGAGGGAGAGAUUUGUGUGUCGUUUGAAGAUGAAGAGAAGAGGAAGGGUGGAAGAUGGAACUCCAAAAGGAAAGUUUAGUCUGAGAAGAAUAGAAACUUGCCGCAUUGAUG
rnacentral:lncRNA from 1 species